rnacentral:rRNA from 1 species
AACGAACGCUGGCGGCAUGCCUAACACAUGCAAGUCGAACGAGACCUUCGGGUCUAGUGGCGCACGGGUGCGUAACGCGUGGGAACCUGCCCUUAGGUUCGGAAUAACUCCCCGAAAGGGGUGCUAAUACCGGAUAAUGUCUUCGGACCAAAGAUUUAUCGCCCUUGGAUGGGCCCGCGUUGCAUUAGCUUGUUGGGACGGUAAAAGCCUACCAAGGGGAGGAUGCAUAGCCGGGCUGAGAGGAUGAUCAGCCACACUGGAACUGAGACACGGCCCAGACUCCUGCGGGAGGCAGCAGUCGGGAAUCUUCCGGGAUGGGCGAAAGCGUGAAGGUGCAACACCGCGCGAGUGAUGAAGGUCUUCGGAUCGUAGAAGUCUGUUAUUAGGGAGGGUCAUAAGUGUCUUUUACCGGGCACAUCUUGACGGUACCUAAUCAGAAAGCCACGGCUAACUUCGUG